UCGGGAAUUUUGGACAAUGGGCGAAAGCCUGAUCCAGCCAUGCCGCGUGUGUGAAGAAGGUCUUCGGAUUGUAAAGCACUUUAAGUUGGGAGGAAGGGCAGUUACCUAAUACGUGAUUGUUUUGACGUUACCGACAGAAUAAGCACCGGCUAACUCUGUGCCAGCAGCCGCGGUAAUACAGAGGGUGCAAGCGUUAAUCGGAAUUACUGGGCGUAAAGCGCGCGUAGGUGGUUAGUUAAGUUGGAUGUGAAAUCCCCGGGCUCAACCUGGGAACUGCAUUCAAAACUGACUGACUAGAGUAUGGUAGAGGGUGGUGGAAUUUCCUGUGUAGCGGUGAAAUGCGUAGAUAUAGGAAGGAACACCAGUGGCGAAGGCGACCACCUGGACUGAUACUGACACUGAGGUGCGAAAGCGUGGGGAGCAAACAGGAUUAGAUACCCUUGUAGUCCCUGAGCGGGCUGGCAAGGCGCAU
rnacentral:rRNA from 1 species